rnacentral:misc_RNA from 1 species
AGGCCAAAAAACCCAAGCAGCACAAAGAACGCUAGUACCCCUAUACAAUAGUAAAAUGGUAUAGGAUGUUUUGACAAGAUUCGAUCCCAACCAUCACUGAAUGAAUUCCUAAAGGUGCCAUCUUUAUCCAUAAGGUAUGCAAAGCCACCCAUUGCAGCAAUCACAGUUUGCACAGCCAGAAAUACAAUGACAACAUCCCUCGUCACAAAAAGUCUGAAUUUUACUUUUCGCCUUGAGCUAUCCUCAAACAAUGCAACUCGAAGAUGAAAUUGGGCCUUGCACGUUGUGCAGUGAGAGAAAGCAAAUCCUUCCUUAACUGAGCGCCAAUGAUCAAGGCAUGAACGAUGAACAAACUGCUGGGUGCCUUUGCACAUGCAUGGAGAUAUUAAUUCAUCACCUAGCUCGCAAUCGCUCUCGAGACAAAUGACAAGGAAUAGAACCAUUCUCAGUAUCUUCUUCAUUGUUAAUCUCACUCGAACUUCCCGGUGGAAGCGAUGAUGAAUCAGCCUUAUUUUCCAGCAGAGGAUCAGAGUCGCUCGGAUUCCCUGCACCCACUGCCUCCAGCUGCACUUCCCCUAUCAUCUAUAACCCUCUCUCUAUAUAUGUGUGUGAUCCCAACAAAACAAAGAUUGAUCACAAUUCACAAAUUGGCAGAUAUCAAACGACGAUUGAAGCAAAACCAAAAGCUCAAGUCAAAACAACCGAGAAAGAGAGAGAAAGCGAAAAUAGACAAACCC